UCAAACUUGGUCAUUUAGAGGAAGUAAAAGUCGUAACAAGGUUUCCGUAGGUGAACCUGCGGAAGGAUCAUUAAUGGGAUUGGACCUUUUCGGUCUUAACCUUCAACCCAAUGUCUUUAUUACUUGAUUCUUUGAUGGGGAAACUCAUCAGAAGAUUUCUUGAACUCUUGUAACUUGAUCUCUGAAAUCAAAAAGAAAUAAUUAAAACUUUCAACAACGGAUCUCUUGGUUCUGGCAUCGAUGAAGAACGCAGC
rnacentral:misc_RNA from 1 species